UCUAGUGAGGAGCUGUCCAGUACAACAACAGCCACACUGAUGUGUCUGGCCAACAAGGGCUUCCCCUCAGAUUGGACCGUGAGCUGGAGAGUGGAUGGGACAAGCAAGAAGCAGGAGGCCAGUCCCGGGGUCCUGGAGAAGGAUGGUCUGUACAGCUGCAGCAGCACCCUGACACUCACUGCCCAGGACUGGAACAAGACAGUGUCAGUGAUCUGUGAGGCCCACCAGAGCUCCCAGCCUACAGUCACCAAGACCCUGAAGAGGGCUGACUGUUCUGGGUAGGACCCCUCAGUCACACACCCCUGUGGAGAGAGGACGCUGGUUCCUCUGCUUUGACUCUGUUCUGAGAUCAGAUGUUUUCUGUCUUAUUGAUCACUGGCAUGUAGACUAACAGAGGGCUUUGCUUGAGUCAUUGUGUCAAUCCUCUCUGUCGACUUAGUUUGUAUCAGUGUUAGAUUUGAUGUGUU